rnacentral:lncRNA from 1 species
GUCCUUGAUGCACCUAACUUGGUCUAGAUCCCGCGCCUUCCUCUCCCUCACUUUAGCCAACCGGAAUAACUUCCUGUCCCCCCUUUCUCCUCGUACAUGCGCCCAAACGCAGCAUUUUUAGCUUCCGUGACCGCCAGUUUCGCUUCCUUCCGCGCCACCUAGUAGUUUUCCUUGUUCGCUCUCCUUUCUUCUUCGCUUGAGCUCCCUGACAACUUAGCAAACGC